CGGCCUUCGGGUUGUAAAGCUCUGUCUUCUGGGACGAUAAUGACGGUACCUGAGGAGGAAGCCCCGGCUAACUACGUGCCAGCAGCCGCGGUAAUACGUAGGGGGCUAGCGUUGUCCGGAUUUACUGGGCGUAAAGGAUGCGUAGGCGGAUUCUUAAGUCAGAUGUGAAAGGCUCCGGCUCAACCUGAGAGCUGCUUUUAAAACUGGAAAUCUAAAGGGCGGGAAAGGAAAGGGGAAUUCCUAGGGUAGCGGGGAAAUGCGUAAAGAUUAGGAAAAACACCAUUGGCAAAGGCGAUUUUCUGGACUGUACCUGACGCUGAGGCUCGAAAGCGUGGGGAGCAAACAGGAUUAAAUACCCUGGUAGCCAACAGGAUUAAUACCCUGGUAGUCA
rnacentral:rRNA from 1 species